GUUAGAUGUUUGUCAUUGUGCUGCAUGUGGACGGUACCGUUUUGUCUCUAAAACUAUGGAGGCCAAUUACAUGCCAUCGUUCCUCUUAGGAGUAAUGUUCUCCUUGUGUUGUUUUCUGUCAUUGCAGAUGUGAUGUCCCAACAAGAAUCUGCCAAUAGGCUACCACAUUACACCUCAGCAGGCACACCAGAGAAGGACCACUCCUGGAUAAGGAUUUGAGCCACUUCCACGACUGCCAUCUCUACACUAUAUUACACAUGCCAGCAGAUGUGGGAGGUGGUGAUCGACGUGACUUGUCAGCAGGUGGAGGACUUCCACGGCCCCGCGGACUACUGAUUACUGUGUGUGGCCUAGAGCCACCUGAGGACCUCCAAGAGCUGGCAAGGACACCAUCCGCGUCGCCCAACAUGGACAAACCAAAUCUGACAGGUCUGACAUCAUCAGCUGCUGUGACGGGCCUUCCAUAGUGUUGCUGUGGUUAUUGCAAGGACAAACAAAAACGGUUUUGUUUGGUUUAUACAAACCAAAACAAUAUGUAAAUAAACUACACAAUUUG